rfam:Zea mays cultivar B73 chromosome 3, whole genome shotgun sequence.
GUUCCCAGUGAUGGUAUACAUUAACCAUGCUAAUACUGAUGUCCUUUGACUAGUAAAACAAUGUGUUAAGGAAAUA